CGGCCCGUGGCUUAAUGGAUACGGCUCCCGUCUCAUAAGCGCAAGGUUCCGGGUUCGAUUCCCGGCUGGUCUC
rnacentral:tRNA from 1 species